GACGAACGCUGGCGGCGUGCUUAACACAUGCAAGUCGAACGAAGUGGCAAACGGGUGAGUAACGCGUAAUCAACCUGCCCUUCAGAGGGGGACAACAGUUGGAAACGACUGCUAAUACCGCAUACUGAAGAAGGGGUUUGCGUUUGAUUAGCUAGUUGGCGGGGUAACGGCCCACCAAGGCGAUGAUCAGUAGGCGGGCUGAGAGGAUGGACGGCCACAGUGGGACUGAGACACGGCCCAGAAUCCUACGGGAGGCAGCAGGGGGGAAUCUUCCGAAAUGGGAGGAAGUCUGACGGAGCAACGCCGCGUGAGUGAUGAAGGCCUUCGGGUUGUAAAGCUCUGUUAAUCGGGACGCGGUACCGGAAUAGAAAGCCACGGCUAACUACGUGCCAGCAGCCGCGGUAAUUC
rnacentral:rRNA from 1 species